AGGACGACGCUGGCGGCGUGCCUAACACAUGCAAGUCGAGCGAAUGAAGUUCCUUCGGGAACGGAUUUAGCGGCGGACGGGUGAGUAACACGUGGGCAACCUGCCUCAUAGAGGGGAAUAGCCUUCCGAAAAGGGAGAUUAAUACCGCAUAAGAUUGUAGUACCGCAUGGUACAGCAAUUAAAGGAGCAAUCCGCUAUGAGAUGGGCCCGCGGCGCAUUAGCUAGUUGGUGAGGUAACGGCUCACCAAGGCGACGAUGCGUAGCCGACCUGAGAGGGUGAUCGGCCACAUUGGGACUGAGACACGGCCCAGACUCCUACGGGAGGCAGCAGUGGGGAAUAUUGCACAAUGGGGGAAACCCUGAUGCAGCAACGCCGCGUGAGUGAUGACGGCCUUUCGGGUUGUAAAGCUCUGUCUUCAGGGACGAUAAUGACGGUACCUGAGGAGGAAGCCACGGCUAACUACGUG
rnacentral:rRNA from 1 species